UACAGAGGUCCCAAGCGUUGUUCGGAUUUACUGGGCGUAAAGGAUGCGUAGGUGGUCGGGUAAGUCUCAUGUGAAAUCCCGCAGCUUAACUGCGGAACGGCAUGGGAUACUAUUCGGCUCGAGGAUUGGAGGGGGGACUGGAAUUCCCGGUGUAGCAGUGAAAUGCGUAGAUAUCGGGAGGAACACCAGUGGCGAAGGCGAGUCCCUGGACAAUUCCUGACGCUGAGGCACGAAAGCCAGGGGAGCAAACAGG
rnacentral:rRNA from 1 species